AUCGCAAGGAGCUGGUACCUUUGAGGUCUCUUCCUUCUGCCGCUGAUCUCUGCGAGGAGGAGACCCCACUUCAGGCUGGUGCGGCCGAGAACACUAGGUUUCCUUGCCCCCAACUCCCAGCUGGAGGGCUUUCUUCCCAGGAGGAGCGGGACUGAAGUGUUUCUCACCAGCUCCCCACUGCCUGUUGCCGAGACUAAGUCCCAGGCGCUCCGCCUUUUGCCUGCAGUACCGGUCCUGGCUCAGUCCGCGGGCCCGGAAGCGGAGGGACCGGACUCCGCAGCCGUCACCCUCGUGGCCAGCGCUCUGUGACGCACCAUGGGAUCUUAUGCGUCCAAGGCUGCCCUCGGGGCUACCACCGAUGAGCCCACAGAACCUGAGCCGAAACACCUGGCAGAUCUGAUACAAUACAUAAAUGAAACAAACAUGAGUGUUGAACAUCUGGCUGAUGUUCUUUCUGAGAAAGCCAGGAGCAGCAGCUGGGUGGUGGUGUUCAAAGCCCUGGUCACCGUGCAUCACCUCAUGGUUCAUGGAAAUGAGCGUUUUAUCCAGCAUCUCGCGUCUAGAAGCUCUUUGUUCACUUUACACAACUUCAUGGAUAAAAGCGUCCUAGAAGGCUACACUAUGUCAACCUUCAUCAGACGAUAUAGCAGGUACCUGAACGAGAAGUCACUCUCAUGCAGACUGAUCACAUCUGAUGUCACCAAAGCCAAGAGAGGGAUGGGUGGUAUGAUGAGAACUAUGGAUACAAAAGAGCUGCUAAACAUUCUUCCGAUUGUUCAAAUUCAGUUUGAUGCUCUUCUUAAUUUUAACGCAAAUCCUGACCAACUAACGAAUGGUAUAAUCCUUGCUGCUUUCAAACUUCUCUUUAAGGAUUCUCUUCGCCUCUUUGCAGCCUAUAAUGAGGGGAUCCUCAAUCUGCUAGACAAGUAUUUUGCUAUGAGGAAAAGCCAGUGCAAGGAAAGCUUGGAUAUUUACACCAAGUUCCUUGCGAGAACAACGAAGUUGGCAGAGUUCCUGAAAGUAGCAGAGCAAGUCGGAAUUGACCAGAAAUAUAUUCCAUACCUUACACAGGCUCCCUACAGUUUACUGGAAGCCCUAAAACAGCAUUUAGCUUCUUUGGAAGAGAAAAAUGACAGUUUCCGUCCUUACCGUCUCCAGCAUGCCUUGAUUCCUCCCAGGCCAAAUAAUCCAGUUGUGAAAGCUUCAACAAGCAGAGCUUGGUUCUCAGCAUUACAUUCACAAGUCCGCAAAUGUACUGGAGUCAGACAGCAAGGUAGAAACAUCGUUGCAAACAGUCUGGACGGCUUGCCUGCUACCCUUGCAGGAAAGCUUAACAUCGGAGAAAACCCAGUCAACAAAUCUGACACGAAGAGGCCUCAGCCUUCAGAUAUGGGCACUCCCGGUGGACUGCAGUGGCAGCUGAAUACGCACACGUGCACAUCAACCAUCUGGAAGUGUGUUUCCAUUCCUCCUGUUCAUCGCAUGGUACCACCUCCAGGGGCCGGGACCUCAGAGCAAGUGCCCAUGUAUAGAAUGGUUUAUCUUUCCCAUCACUGAAUAUUGAAGUGCUCCAGAAUCAAUCCCUGAGCACCUUCUCUGUCAACAUUCAUUCCCUUGGUGAUUCCAUCUACAUCAUGGCUUUAAACGUACAUUUAUAUACUGAUGAUUCCCACACUUGUGUCACCAGUCUAGAGCUCCUCACUGUUACCAACGUAUAUAUCCACCUGCCUAAUUGACGUCUUCACCUGGAUGUGUAAUCGGCAUCUCCGGCUGUACAGACACAACCCACGUAAAAGUACCAAAGCACAAAGAUUCAGAUUCAGAGGUGAAAAAAAGGCGAUCGUCUCUCUACAGCCUGAGCUGAAUCAUUCACAUCUGCCAAGUAAAAUAAACAUUCAUUUGAACCAUCA